rnacentral:rRNA from 1 species
CCUACGGGUGGCAGCAGUGAGGAAUAUUGGUCAAUGGACGAGAGUCUGAACCAGCCAAGUAGCGUGAAGGAUGACUGCCCUAUGGGUUGUAAACUUCUUUUAUAUGGGAAUAAAACAGGGUAUGCAUACCCUCUUGUAUGUACCUUAUGAAUAAGGAUCGGCUAACUCCGUGCCAGCAGCCGCGGUAAUACGGAGGAUCCGAGCGUUAUCCGGAUUUAUUGGGUUUAAAGGGAGCGUAGGUGGAUUGUUAAGUCAGUUGUGAAAGUUUGCGGCUCAACCGUAAAAUUGCAGUUGAAACUGGCAGGCUUGAGUACAGUAGAGGUGGGCGGAAUGCGUGGUGUAGCGGUGAAAUGCUUAGAUAUCACGAAGAACUCCGAUUGCGAAGGCAGCUCGCUGGGCUGCAACUGACACUGAUGCUCGAAAGUGUGGGUAUCAAACAGGAUUAGAUACCCCAGUAGUC